rnacentral:rRNA from 1 species
AACGAACGCUGGCGGCAGGCUUAACACAUGCAAGUCGAACGCCCCGCAAGGGGAGUGGCAGACGGGUGAGUAACGCGUGGGAACAUACCCUUUUCUACGGAAUAGCUCUGGGAAACUGGAAUUAAUACCGUAUACGCCCUACGGGGGAAAGAUUUAUCGGGGAAGGAUUGGCCCGCGUUGGAUUAGCUAGUUGGUGGGGUAAAGGCCUACCAAGGCGACGAUCCAUAGCUGGUCUGAGAGGAUGAUCAGACACAUUGGGACUGAGACACGGCCCAAACUCCUACGGGAGGCAGCAGUGGGGAAUAUUGAACAAGGGGCGCAGGCCUGAUCCAGCCAUGCCGCGUAAGUGAUGAAGGCCUUAGGGUUGUAAAGCUCUUUCACCGAUGAGGAUAAUGACGGAAGUCGAAGAAGAAGCCCCGGCUAACUUGGU